CGGGACGUAGCUCAGCUUGGUAGAGCACCUGCUUUGGGAGCAGGGGGUCGCAGGUUCGAAUCCUGUCGUCCCGA
rnacentral:tRNA from 2 species